UACAGAGGGUGCGAGCGUUAAUCGGAAUUACUGGGCGUAAAGCGCACGUAGGCGGCUUUGCAAGUCAGGUGUGAAAUCCCCGGGCUUAACCUGGGAACUGCAUUUGAGACUGCAUUGCUAGAGUAUGGGAGAGGGAAGUGGAAUUUCAGGUGUAGCGGUGAAAUGCGCAGAUAUCAGGAGGAACACCGGUGGCGAAGGCGGGUCUCUGGGCCGAUACCGACGCUGAGGAGCGAAAGCGUGGGGAGCGAACAGG
rnacentral:rRNA from 1 species